rnacentral:rRNA from 1 species
CAGCAGGCGCGAAACCUUUACACUGCACGCCAGUGCGAUAAGGGGAUCCCAAGUGCGUAGGCAUAGAGCCUACGCUUUUGUCCACCCUAGGGUGGUGGACGAAUAAGGGCUGGGCAAGACCGGUGCCAGCCGCCGCGGUAAUACCGGCAGCCCGAGUGAUGGCCGAUCUUAUUGGGCCUAAAGCGUCCGUAGCUGGCCGCACAAGUCCAUCGGGAAAUCCACCUGCUCAACAGGUGGGCGUCCGGUGGAAACUGUGUGGCUUGGGACCGGAAGGCGCGACGGGUACGUCCGGGGUAGGAGUGAAAUCCCGUAAUCCUGGACGGACCGCCGAUGGCGAAAGCACGUCGCGAAAACGGAUCCGACAGUGAGGGACGAAAGCUAGGGUCUCGAACCGGAUUAGAUACCCGGGUAGUCCUAGCCGUAAACACUGCCUGCUAGGUGUGGCACCCACUAAGAGUUGCGUCCUGUCGCGUACCGAAGCCCUU